rnacentral:rRNA from 1 species
GACGAACGCUGGCGGCGUGCCUAAUACAUGCAAGUCGAGCGCAGGAAGCCAUCUGAACCCUUCGGGGGGACGACGGUGGAAUGAGCGGCGGACGGGUGAGUAACACGUAAAGAACCUGCCCAUAGGUCUGGGAUAACCACGAGAAAUCGGGGCUAAUACCGGAUGUGUCAUCGGACCGCAUGGUCCGCUGAUGAAAGGCGCUUCGGCGUCGCCCAUGGAUGGCUUUGCGGUGCAUUAGCUAGUUGGUGGGGUAACGGCCCACCAAGGCGACGAUGCAUAGCCGACCUGAGAGGGUGAUCGGCCACACUGGGACUGAGACACGGCCCAGACUCCUACGGGAGGCAGCAGUAGGGAAUCUUCCACAAUGGACGAAAGUCUGAUGGAGCAACGCCGCGUGAACGAUGAAGGCUUUCGGGUCGUAAAGUUCUGUUGUAAGGGAAGAACAAGUGCCGCAGGCAAUGGCGGCACCUUGACGGUACCUUGCGAGAAAGCCACGGCUAACUACGUGCCAGCAGCCGCCGUAA